GCACUUCCAAAAAGCGGCAAAAAAGCCUAUAUACAUUGUGUCGGGCAACCGACUAUGGCGAUAAACGGUGCGCGAAAUAGGCGUUACGGACCCGGGGGCAGUACCCGGCGCCUCCACCAUAACCGCAUGACCCGGCGGCGCGCCGGGAGGCUCGAUUGGCGGUGCGGUUUUGCUGGGGGCGACACAGGAUCGACGUGCGUAUUAAAGGUGUACUUUUCGCCCGGCAUGAUACCACCGUUAUCGGGUCACAUUCACAAAUGCCAACGACAACGAGGCAUUUGCAGUUGCCGCUUAGGUAACUGCGGGGUUCGGGGGGCACCUGGCAACAGAAGCCCCCCACU
rnacentral:tmRNA from 1 species